rnacentral:rRNA from 1 species
UGAAUACGAGACGCUAAGGCGUCGAAGUAGUGUAUGUCAUACUUCCAAGAAAAGCUUGCACUGUCAUAGAUAAAAAACGCCUGUACCAUAACCGACACAGGUGGGUAGGUAGAGUAUACUAAGGGGCGCGAGAUAACUCUCUCUAAGGAACUCGGCAAAAUAACUCCGUAACUUCGGGAGAAGGAGUGCCUUAUUCGUAAGGUUGCAAUAACAAGAUCCAAGCAACUGUUUAUCAAAAACACAGGUCUCCGCUAAGUCGUAAGACGAUGUAUGGGGGCUGACGCCUGCCCAGUGCCAGAAGGUUAAAGAAGUUGGUUAGCAAUUGCGAAGCUGAUAACUGAAGCCCUGGUGAACGGCGGCCGUAACAAUAACGGUCCUAAGGUAGCGAAAUUCCUUGUCGGGUAAGUUCCGACCCGCACGAAGGGCGUAAUGAUUUGGAUACUGUCUCGGAGAGGGGCUCGGUGAAAUAGACUUGUCUGUGAAGAUGCGGACUACCUGCACCAGGACAGAAAGACCCUAUGAAGCUUUACUGUAACUUGAAAUUGAAAUUGGACUUUAUUCGCGCAGUAUAGGUGGGAGGCGUUGAUUAUAAUCUUGUGGGAUUAUUGGAGCCAUCAGUGAGAUACCACUCUUGUAAUGUUAGAUUUCUAACUUUGAAUCAUUAUCUGGUCAAAGAACAGUUUCAGGCGGGCAGUUUGACUGGGGCGGUCGCCUCCUAAACGGUAACGGAGGCGUACAAAGGUUUCCUCUGAACGGUUAGAAAUCGUAUCUAGAGUGUAAAGGCAUAAGGAAGCUUGACUGUGAGACCUACAAGUCGAGCAGGGACGAAAGUCGGUCUUAGUGAUCUGACGGUACUGAGUGGAAAGGCCGUCACUCAACGGAUAAAAGUUACUCUAAGGAUAACAGGCUGAUCUCCCCCAAGAGUUCACAUCGACGGGGAGGUUUGGCACCUCGAUGUCGGCUCAUCGCAUCCUGGGGCGGUAGUACGUCCCAAGGGUUGGGCUGUUCGCCCAUGAAAGCGGUACGCGAGCUGGGUUCAGAACGUCGUGAGACAGUUCGGUCCAUAUCCGGUGUAGGCGUUAGAAUAUUGAGAGGAGCCUUCUUUAGUACGAGAGGACCGAGAAGGACAUACCUCUGGUGUACCAGUUAUCGUGCCAACGGUAAACGCUGGGUAGCUAUGUAUGGAGUGGAUAACCGCUGAAAGCAUCUAAGUGGGAAGCCCACCUCAAGAUAAGUAUUCUCAC